rnacentral:rRNA from 1 species
GACGAACGCUGGCGGCGUGCUUAACACAUGCAAGUCGAACGGUAAGGCCCUUCGGGGUACACGAGUGGCGAACGGGUGAGUAACACGUGGGUGAUCUGCCCUGCACUUUGGGAUAAGCCUGGGAAACUGGGUCUAAUACCGAAUACACCCUGCUGGUCGCAUGGCCUGGUGGGGGAAAGCUUUUGCGGUGUGGGAUGGGCCCGCGGCCUAUCAGCUUGUUGGUGGGGUGAUGGCCUACCAAGGCGACGACGGGUAGCCGGCCUGGGAGGGUGACCGGCCACACUGGGACUGAGCUACGGCCCAGACUCCUACGGGAGGCAGCAGUGGGGAAUAUUGCACAAUGGGCGCAAGCCUGAUGCAGCGACGCCGCGUGAGGAUGACGGCCUUCGGGUUGUAAACCUCUUUCAAUAGGGACGAAGCGCAAGUGACGGUACCUAUAGAAGAAGGACCGGCCAACUACGUGCCAGCCGCCGCAGUAA